CUUAAAGGAAUUGACGGGGCCCGCACAAGCGGUGGAGCAUGUGGUUUAAUUCGACGCAACGCGAAGAACCUUACUACCCUUGACAUGUCCGGAACUUGCCAGAGAUGGCUUGGUGCCCGAAAGGGAAUCGGAACACAGGUGCUGCAUGGCUGUCGUCAGCUCGUGUCGUGAGAUGUUGGGUUAAGUCCCGCAACGAGCGCAACCCUUAUCAUUAGUUGCUACGCAAGGGCACUCUAAUGAGACUGCCGGUGACAAACCGGAGGAAGUGGGGAUGACGUCAAGUCCUCAUGGCCCUUAUGGGUAGGGCUUCACACGUCAUACAAUGGUCGGUACAGAGGGUUGCCAAGCCGCGAGGCGGAGCCAAUCCCACAAAGCCGAUCGUAGUCCGGAUUGUUCUCUGCAACUCGAGAGCAUGAAGUCGGAAUCGCUAGUAAUCGCAGGUCAGCAUACUGCGGUGAAUACGUUCCCGGGUCUU
rnacentral:rRNA from 1 species